rnacentral:rRNA from 1 species
GCUCCAAUAGCGUAUAUUAAAGUUGUUGCAGUUAAAAAGCUCGUAGUUGAAUUUUGGGCUUGGCUGGGCGGUCUUUACAUAGUAUUGUACUUCUCUGGCUGAGUCUUUCCUUCUGGCGAACUAUCGUGCUAUUCAUUUAGUGCGAUGGGGAGCCAGGACUUUUUACUUUGAAAAAAUUAGAGUGUUUAAAGCAGGCUUAC